AUGCUCAAAUGCUUAAUUUUACAAAAAUUUAUCGAAAGUGUGUUUGGUUCAAUUGAAAUGAAUGUUAUAUUUUACGAAUUACGUGAACGCUUUUGUUCUUUAGUUGAAUUACAUGGAGAUGUAAGAUUAUAUAAAACCGAUCCAGAUCAAACAAAUAAAAAUCUUUAUAAACAUACUAAUAAUAUUAUAACUGAACAUAAAAUCAGUUAUACAAACGAAUACAUGUUUAAUCAACUAUAUUUUAUUAAAUGUUUUUUAUGUAUUCGCAUACUUUUUAACAUUUUAAAAAAUUUUACAUUCGCUAACUCUAUUUAUCAAUACUCUUUUUCUUUGUUCUUUUCGUAUUUCAAGAACAAAGGAAGGAUUAUCACUCCCAGCAAGUUUUGGAAAGAGAUAUUCAACGAAUGUACUAAGCGAUAUAUAGAGAUGUACAAACAAACACCAAAGAAUAUUUUCAAAAUGAAACAAAAACAGUUACAUGUAAACUCACCUGAAUUACUACAAGAUGAAGAACAUGAGCAAUAUCAAGUAUUUGAAAAAUAUUUUACAUACUUUUUCAAUACUUAUAUUAAAGGUUAUGGUAUACCUCAACAUAUAAUUACAUUUAAUAUUCAUUUACAAAGAAAAGGGACAUCCAUGGAUAAUUUUAAUUUCUUAGUGGCACAAAAUGCAAUUACUCCAUUUGAUUUUUGCAAUAAUAACUUUCAUUCAAAUUAUUUCCUUGCAGAUAUCGCAUCAAUGAAUGUAUACAGUUUAUUACAAUUAAAUAAACACUUUGAUAUAAGAACUAAAUUAUAUAUUAGUAAUAUUAAUGGAAGUAUGUGUACAGAUUAUAUUCGGAACAAUAAGAAAUUGAAAAACAUUAAUCGUGUUAAACCCAAAAAGGAUAAAAUGGGUAAAACGGGUAAAAUGGGUAAAACAGGUAAAACGAGUAAAAUGGGUAAAAUGAAUGAAGGGAACAUGUUUUACAAUACUCAAGGAAGAACCCAUCUUGAUAAAAUUAUAUUCGAAAUUUUUUUAAAUCAACCAUAUAUACAUACAUAUGAUAAUAUAGAAAAAAAAUACAUACAAUUUUUAAAAAUAAAUAAAUAUUAUGAUAUAGAUCACACUUAUGAUUAUCCACUAACUUUAUUUAGUGCAAAAAAAAACACUAUUAUUAACCAAUUUAUUAUAAAAAAAAAUGUCAAAAACAAAAAAAAUAUUUAUUUUUUAAUCAAAAAAGAGCCUAUUAUUUUUACAAAAGGUUAUCGACGCAAAUUAAAUAAAAUGAUGGAAAAGGGGAUGAACGCUGAACUGGAAGGAGUAAAUAAGCAAAAAAAAAAAAAAAAGAAAAAAAAAAAAAAUAGAGACAACAGAUACGGCAAAGGUAACAAAAACAAUAUUAUAAAAAAAUAUGAUUUAACAAACGAUGAAAAUCAAAUAUAUAAACAAUUAAAAACUGGUGAUAUAGGACAAGUGGAACAAAACGAUGAACAAACGAGUGUACACUCUAUAGAAGCAUAUCCCAUAAAUAAUAACGACGUAUGUAACGAACAAAUACAUAGCCAUAAUGAAAAUGAUGGUUAUACAGAAAUGAUAAAUCAUAACCAAAACAACUCAACCAACUCAGACAACUCAACCGACCCAACCGACCCAACCGACCCAACCGACCCAACCAACCCAACCAACCUAACCGACCCAACCGACUCAACUGACUCAACCGACUCAACCGACUCAAUUGACUCAAUCGACUCUAUUACUAAUAAUGCAAAAAAUGAAAAAAAUGAAAAAAAUGAAAAAAGUGAAAAAAAUGAAAAAAAUGAAAAAAAUGAAAAAAAUGAAAAAAAUGAAAAAAAUGAAAAAAAUGAAAAACAAAAUGACUUUCAAACAAAUAAAAACACAAAAGAAAUAGAAAAUAGCCUUACUAAAAAUGACCAUCGUAACAAAAACAAGAAAAAAAAAAAUAAAACAAUGAUAAACAUAAAACAAACAAUAACUGCAUCAAAUAUAAAACAUAAGUUGAAAAAACGGAAACAUAAACAUAAAUCUAAUAUUAAUUAUUACAAAAAUAACAUUGACAAAACACAUAAAAAUGUUCAGAACAGUUUAUCACUAGCACAAUCACAUUCGAAACAACUACAAUUACAAAUAUAUAAAUAUACCAAAGCGAAUAAGUAUACUGUGAUUAGAAGAAAACAACAACUACUCACUUUACCAUACACAACUUUUGAUAGUUUAGAUUUGGUACUACGAGAUGGAAAUUUUUAUUUGGGGUUUGGUUAUGUAGGAUCCGAUGAUCUAAUGUUAACAACAGGAAAAGGAAAUUUAUAUAAACAUAUUAUCGCAUUUCAAAAGUUAAAACAAUGUAACGUAAAAGAAUUAAGUCAAUUAUGUGUUGACAGAAAUAAUAUAUACGAAUAUAACAAUGCACCUUACCACACUAGUGCUAUAUACCCACAAUGGAAAAGUACCUUUCGAUUGUAUUACUAUUUAUUGCUAUUAAACAAAAUAUAUAAAAAAAAAUUAAUUAUCAGACAUAAAGAGUUAUUUUUAUCGAAAAAUAAACAAAUUGACAUAUUUGAUGACAGUAAUAACUACAAUGAAAUUAUAGAAUGCAUAGAAGAAAGGGAUGAUAACUUUUCCAAUAAUAAAGAUAAAAGAAAAAGAAAAAAAAAAAAAAAAAAAAAAAAAAAAAAAAAAAAAAAAAAAAAAAAGAUAAAAGUAUGAAUAAAAGUUUAGAGCAGGGACGUGAUGACGAACAUGACACUGAAACUGAAAGUGAAACUAUUGCCAAGUCAGGCAUGAACAAAAAAAAAAAAAAAUGUAAACUAACCGAUUAUGGCGAUUAUAAUGGUAAUGGUGAUUAUGGCGAUUAUAACGGUAAUGACGAUUAUAA
rnacentral:lncRNA from 1 species